rnacentral:rRNA from 1 species
GUCCACGCCGUAAACGAUGGAUACUAGCUGUUCGGAGCAAUCUGAGUGGCUAAGCGAAAGUGAUAAGUAUCCCACCUGGGGAGUACGUUCGCAAGAAUGAAACUCAAAGGAAUUGACGGGGCCCGCACAAGCGGUGGAGCAUGUGGUUUAAUUCGAUGAUACGCGAGGAACCUUACCAAGGCUUAAAUGUAGAUUGACCGAUUUUGGAAACAGAUCUUUCGCAAGACAAUUUACAAGGUGCUGCAUGGUUGUCGU